ACGCAUGUUGCAACCCCGGGCUUCGCUGAAAUUUGAAUGAAGUGAAAGCCCCAUUGCACGUGCAAAAUCGAUGUCAUUCGUGUUGCAGUUCAUCUCGAUAAUUCCACGAUUGAUCUGUGUCAAAGUAAUGUCUACAUCG
rnacentral:snoRNA from 2 species